rnacentral:rRNA from 1 species
UUCUUUAAUUGGGAGCUGGAAUGAAAGGUAGAUACUGAAAGGAAAGUUUUUUUGAAUAAUUUUGAAUUUAAUUUAAAAGUAAGAAAGCUUUUAUAUUUCCUUGGGACGAGAAGACCCUAGAAGUUUAAAAAUAAAGAUUUUUUUAUUGGGGCAAUAUUCUGAAGAUAAGUAUUUUUAGUUAAUAAAUUAAUAUUAAAAAAAUUACUCUAGGGAUAACAGCGUUAUUUAAUUAAUGAGUUCUUAUUAAUAAUUAAGUUUGCGACCUCGAUGUUGAAUUAAAUUUUUAUUUAUGGUGAAGAAGCUAUAAUAUUUAGUCUGUUCGACUAUUAAAAAUUUACGUGAUCUGAGU